AUGAAUGAUAUGGGUGGAAUGUGAUUUUGCUCACGGAGAAAAAAAUAAAAAAAAGUAGCUUUAGUUUUGCUGGAGCUCUGUGGCAGUGAAACGUGCAGUUGCACAUGGUAUGCUCCUGCUCCUCGACCUCUCUGCUGCUCAGUUUGCUGCUUUGAGCUUUCUGUGCACUCAUGAAGUGUGUUCAGUGCCUUCUGCUUUGCUUCCUCAAGGAAAAGAGCAACAGCUGUGGAGGAGAAAGGAGACUUGCUGCUCUUGUCCAUAUGUGAUGAUCCAGAGCAAGACUUGAGGGAAUCUGGGGAAGACUGUAUUGCAGUAUCUUCCAUCUUCUCCUGACAUACCAGAAACUUGAUCAUCUGACUGUAAAGCUAACGGAGGAAGUCACGCACCUGCUCCAUCUCGUAUGACUGAGCUGAGUUUGGAACUGAAGAGGACGUCCACAUGAUUCAAGAUGAAUUCCACAACUACUGACUGGAUUCGCACCUCCAUGAAAGCAGCUGUUCCACUGAAGCAGGCAGACUCGAUCUGCUUUGAUCUGAAGAAAAGGAAGAUUAAAUAAAAUGCAAACAGCCAGAAGACUGUGAAAAAGAUAUGCUCCCCUUGGCUGGAGUCCUACUGAAACAGGCAAGAGGAACAAUGGGUCAAGAAGGAAAGAAAGCACGUGGCAGGUCCAGAUUGAGGUAAGCAUUGCAUAUACGAAGUGGGGAACUUUCCUUUAACUUCUUUCUAGAAACAGUGUAUGGCAGCAGUUUAAUGCUGUGACACUGUAGAAAGCUCAGCAUGGUCUUCUGCAUCAUUUUUCCUCUAGCAGGGAAUGUCUCCAACUGGUCCUGCCCAGCAAGUACCCCAAUAUUCACAACAGCAAACUCAAACAAGAAAUCUUUUGACUGCUUGUGGGUGAAUUGCCAUAAAGGAGAAAAUAGCUUUCCCUCAUUAACUGCACACAGGGGAAUCUCUGACUCGGAUUUCUCAGGUUGGUAGCAAAGCAGUCCAGAAAUCAAUUCAAUAGAAGCCAGGGUGAUUUUUUUGUCUUUGUUUUAAAGCACAAUUUUUUAAAUUACACCAUUAAUUAUAAAAUACCCUAUUAGGCACAUUCAAAACAAGUUUUAGGAGACAUUUAUCCAAGAUCAUUUCCAUAAGUCUGAAUUUUUGCAGCCAAAAGCUGUCAAAUUAGACUCCGGAGAUUUCUGCAGUGGGAAAUCAGUGAUGCCACUAAACACAUUUUCCUGGAUGAUCAAGGACACACUAGUCUCAUCUAACCAGGAGAGGAGAAAUUAUCAUCUAGAAAGAGUUCUGGGGGUGAGAACACACUAUGCUCAUUCCUUGACACUGCUGAACUGUGGUCAGUGGAGUUGCAGUGCAGAGAGAGAGAGCAAUACUGGGGUAUUCUCUCACAGUGUGUCAACACAGUUCCACUGACAACAGCAGAGCUAUUAACAUCACUUUCAGAAGCUUGCCAGCUGGUCUCAACCCCCUGCUCAGAAUAAUUUCCUAUUAGAAAUUUUACAGGAGAAGAGCACAUUGGAUGGAAAAAAAGGAAAAUCUUUUUCUAGGCUGCUGAAAGUUAUGAUUUUCUGGGCAACUGAUAUCUAUCUUUUAUUUGUAUAAAUACAAAAACUUACAUAAGCCUUGUAUUUGAAUGGGAAAAAAAAAAGUUACCUUAAGAGGUUUGGAGCCCAGACAAUUGCCAAGUUCUUAGCGUGCAUAUUUGUAACAGAGCAGUAAUCAGCUAGACGAGCUAAGUGUCUCAUUAAGAACUCCAGUGUCCUGGAAAACAAGAGAUAGGCAAAUGUUCAGCACCAAUGAGCAAGCCAUGCUGCAAGUUACAAAACAAACCCUAGUUCAUUAUCUUCUUUCGCUUUGGGUGCUCACAAAAAAAAAAAAGUUGAAGUGUAUGGUAAGAAGGAUGGUAAAGUUGUCUUUAGCAAAUAAUUACAUAGGGGUGGGGUAAGAGGGAGUCUCUCCUGAAUUGUUCUGAGUAAAGGAAAAGACUGCCCAAGCACCUGUUGUCAGCCAAGUGACUGGACCCAGCAAAGACUGACGUGGAUGGGAAUAUGCUAAAUGCCACCAGCACAGCAGGAUCUAGAAGCAGAGCACCCUGGAGCUUCAUAGCUCGUGGUGGUUUUAUUAUAGCAUUGUGAAACAGAAAUACAGCCCUUACACUGUAUUUGGGUCAUAGCACAAUGCUCAUCUGAGAGUUAGAAGAAAGGACUUUGAAUAUAAACCUCCUGGUAAACAGAAGACUAUUUAUUUACACAGCCCAGGAUUUUGAAAACCAGCAAAUUUUAUCUGAAUUCUACUUAGGAAAUGAGUGCUUCCAGCUUUCUUAUACACAUAUAAGAGAUACACAGCAGAUACAAGGUUAAGCUUCACAGGACUUCUGAUCAAGGUAAAAAUAAAAGAUUGUGUUUUAGAUCAAACGCUGCUGCUACCAUGACAUGGGGAAGAGGAGGAAGGGCCCAGCUCCAUUCCUUCCAGCCAGUGCAGGGGGUGGCAAUGUGAACGCUGCUGCCACCUCCUCCAUGCUGGCGCUCAGCAGCAGCCUGGCUGGCACCCGUCUCUCUGUGCCCCCUUCACCAUAUGGCAGCAGAGGCCCAAAACUUCUCAGGCAGGAAGGGCGUGAAGCUCAGAUGGGUGUUUCUGGGUGGACACAAAGCAGGCAUCUCCAGCAACCUGCACGGCCCUGCUGCACCUCAAACACUGCCUACCCGCAUGCAAAU